rnacentral:tRNA from 1 species
AUUUAAAUAAUUUAAUUUAAAAUAUUGAUUUGUGGAAUCAAAAAUGUUUGUAAUGAUAAAAAACUUUAA